GCCGGGGUAUGGCUAACCCGGUAAGCUGCAGAGCCGAAACCUCUGUGCCGAAAGGCGCUCUGGGUUCAAAUCCCAGCCCCGGCG
rnacentral:tRNA from 1 species